rnacentral:rRNA from 1 species
UACGUAGGGUGCAAGCGUUAAUCGGAAUUACUGGGCGUAAAGCGUGCGCAGGCGGUUGUGCAAGACAGAUGUGAAAUCCCCGGGCUCAACCUGGGAAUUGCAUUUGUGACUGCACGGCUAGAGUGUGUCAGAGGGGGGUAGAAUUCCACGUGUAGCAGUGAAAUGCGUAGAGAUGUGGAGGAAUACCAGAGGCGAAGGCGGCUUGCUGGGGUGGAAUUGACGCUCAGACACGAAAGCAUGGGGAGCGAACGGG